rnacentral:rRNA from 1 species
UACAGAGGGUGCAACGUUGUUCGGAAUUACUGGGCGUAAAGCGUGUGUAGGCGGUGAGGUAAGUCGGAUGUGAAAGCCCAGGGCUCAACCCUGGAAGUGCACUCGAUACUGCUCGCUUGAGUACUGGAGAGGUUGGUGGAAUUCUCGGUGUAGAGGUGAAAUUCGUAGAUAUCGAGAGGAACAUCUGUGGCGAAGGCGGCCAACUGGACAGAUACUGACGCUGAGACACGAAAGUGUGGGGAGGCAAACAGG